AAAUAAGAAACAAUAAAUGUAUUUAGUUUCGACCUAAAAUUAAGGUGUGACCCGCCCUUAUUUG
rnacentral:tRNA from 1 species